rnacentral:snRNA from 1 species
GUCCUCUUUUUUAGCAGCACAUACAUUAAAACUGGAAAGAUACAAAGGAGAUUAGUGUGGCCCCUGCACAAGGACAACACUCAAAUUCAUGAGGUGUUCCAGAUUUUU